rnacentral:rRNA from 1 species
CCCUUAGAUGUUCUGGGCCGCACGCGUGCUACACUGACGCCUACAGCGAGUACUUCCCAGCCCCGAGAGGUGGCUGGUAAUCAGCAAUAGGCGUCGUGAUGGGGAUAGAUCUUUGGAAUUAUGGAUCUUGAACGAGGAAUGCCUAGUAAGCGCAGGUCAUUAGCCUGCGUUGAUUAAGUCCCUGCCCUUUGUACACACCGCCCGUCGCUCCUACCGAUUUCGAGUGGUCCGGUGAAUCUUUCGGACUGCGCGCGGCUUCGUGCCGUGUCGCGGAAAGUCAGGUAAACCUUAUCACUUAGAGGAAGGAGAAGUCGUAACA